GUGAAUCAUCGAAUUUUUGAACGCAAAUUGCACUCUCCUCGGAGAGUAUGCCUGUUUGAGGGUCAGCCUAUAAAAAUCGACAUCGUUGCUGUUUCGCGGUGGCGUUCGUCGGAAAUUGGGUCAUCUUAAAUCCUUUUGUUUUAAGCGACUUAAAAUUUUCUUUUUGUUUCCUGGAAGUUUUUAAGAUAUUUUUUUUUAAAAGUUUUAAGGUAU
rnacentral:misc_RNA from 1 species